GGGGAAUUAUCCGCAAUGGGCGAAAGCCUGACGGAGCAAGACCGCGUGAGGGAGGAAGGCUCUUGGGUUGUAAACCUCUUUUGUCAGGGAAGAACACAAUGACGGUACCUGACGAAUCAGCCUCGGCUAACUCCGUGCCAGCAGCCGCGGUAAUACGGAGGAGGCAAGCGUUAUCCGGAAUUAUUGGGCGUAAAGCGUCCGCCGGUGGCACCUCAAGUCUGCGGUCAAAGACCGGGGCUUAACCCCAGAAAGGCAGUGGAAACUGAAGUGCUAGAGUGCAGUAGGGGUAGAGGGAAUACCCGGUGUAGCGGUGAAAUGCGUAGAGAUCGGGAAGAACAUCGGUGGCGAAAGCGCUCUGCUGGACUGCAACUGACACUCAGUGACGAAAGCUAGGGGAGCGAAUGGUAUUAGAUACCCCAGUAGUCCUAGCGGUAAACGAUGGAUACUAGGUGUGGCUUGUAUCGACCCGAGCCGUGCCGUAGCUAACGCGUUAAGUAUCCCGCCUGGGCAGUACGCGCGCAAGCGU
rnacentral:rRNA from 1 species